AUGAUUGGAGACAUCCUGCUAUUUGGGACAUUGCUGAUGAAUGCUGGGGCAGUGCUCAACUUUAAGCUGAAAAAGAAGGACAUGCAGGGCUUUGGGAAGGAGGCAUGGGAGCCCAGCACAGGUGACAACACGAGGGAAUUCUUACUGAGCCUCAGAUACUUUUGAAUCUUCACCAUCCUGUGGAACGUCUUCAUCAUGUGCUGCAUGAUUGUGCUGUUUGGCUCCUGA
rnacentral:lncRNA from 1 species